rnacentral:rRNA from 1 species
GCUGAAACUCGCCUACAUGAAGCUGGAGUUGCUAGUAAUCGCGAAUCAGCAUGUCGCGGUGAAUACGUUCCCGGGCCUUGUACACACCGCCCGUCACACCAUGAGAGUUGGCAAUACCCAACGUACGUGAUCUAACCCGCAAGGGAGGAAGCGUCCUAAGGUAGGGUCAGCGAUUGGGGUGAAGUCGUAACAAGGUACC